rnacentral:misc_RNA from 1 species
UCGCGGCUUAUCACCGGCAGUCCCCUUAGAGUGCCCAACUAAAUGAUGGCAACUAAAGACGAGGGUUGCGCUCGUUGCGGGACUUAACCCAACAUCUCACGACACGAGCUGACGACAGCCAUGCAGCACCUCGACUAGUGUCCCCGAAAGGAAGGAGAGCUUUCACCCUCUGUCACUAGCCGUUCGAGCCCAGGUAAGGUUCUUCGCGUUGCGUCGAAUUAAACCACAUGCUCCACCGCUUGUGCGGGCCCCCGUCAAUUCCUUUGAGUUUCAGUCUUGCGACCGUACUCCCCAGGCGGAGUGCUUAAUGUGUUGACUUCGGCACAGCAGGGGUCGAUACCCGCUACACCAAGCACUCAUCGUUUACGGCGUGGACUAC